UACGGAGGGGCUAGCGUUGUUCGGAAUUACUGGGCGUAAAGCGCACGUAGGCGGUCUUGAAAGUUGGGGUGAAAGCCCCGGAGCUCAACUCCGGAAUUGCCUUCAAAACUCUUAAGCUAGAGUUCGGAAGAGGAGAGUGGAAUUCCCAGUGUAGAGGUGAAAUUCGUAGAUAUUGGUAAGAACGACCAGUGGCGAAGGCGGCUCUCUGGUCCGAUACUGACGCUGAGGUGCG
rnacentral:rRNA from 1 species